UGUAGAAGAAAACACAAUGAACAAAGUUUAUUUUUAUAAAGGUUUCUGAUGAUUAGCUGCCGACUUAAAGAAGAGGCAAUACAUAUU
rnacentral:sRNA from 1 species